rfam:Powassan virus, complete genome
CAAAAGGCCUCCUGGAAGGCUCACCAGGAGUUAGGCCGUUUAGG